rnacentral:rRNA from 1 species
UACGAAGGGGGCGAGCGUUGUUCGGAAUCACUGGGCGUAAAGGGCGCGUAGGCGGCCCUCUUAGUCGCGUGUGAAAGCCCCGGGCUCAACCUGGGAACGGCGCGCGAAACGGGAGGGCUGGAGUUCGGGAGAGGAGAGUGGAAUUCCCAGUGUAGAGGUGAAAUUCGUAGAUAUUGGGGAAGAACACCGGUGGCGAAGGCGGCUCUCUGGGACCGAGACUGACGCGUGAGG